rnacentral:tRNA from 1 species
UGGGGUGUAGCUCAGUUGGUAGAGCGCUUGCCUAGUAUUCACGAAGCNCUUGGUUCCAUCCUUAGCAUCACAU